rnacentral:ncRNA from 1 species
UUGAGCCGUGUGCUGGGAAACUCGCAUGCACGGUUCUUAGGGGGUUGACGUAGGCAACUGCGUCUGACUACCCGAC